AACGAACGCUGGCGGCAUGCCUAACACAUGCAAGUCGAACGAAGGCUUCGGCCUUAGUGGCGCACGGGUGCGUAACGCGUGGGAAUCUGCCCUUGGGUACGGAAUAACAGUGAGAAAUUACUGCUAAUACCGUAUGAUGACGUAAGUCCAAAGAUUUAUCGCCCAGGGAUGAGCCCGCGUAGGAUUAGCUAGUUGGUGGGGUAAAGGCCUACCAAGGCGACGAUCCUUAGCUGGUCUGAGAGGAUGAUCAGCCACACUGGGACUGAGACACGGCCCAGACUCCUACGGGAGGCAGCAGUGGGGAAUAUUGGACAAUGGGCGAAAGCCUGAUCCAGCAAUGCCGCGUGAGUGAUGAAGGCCUUAGGGUUGUAAAGCUCUUUUACCCGGGAAGAUAAUGACUGUACCGGGAGAAUAAGCCCCGGCUAACUCCGUGCCAGCCGCCGCGGUAA
rnacentral:rRNA from 1 species